UAAGAGGGUGGGAGAGGGUCAGAGAGUGAGAGGGUCAGAGAGGGUCAGAGAGGGUCAGAGAGAGAGAAAUGAAGAGACUCUCAGAGCAUCUUUCCUCCAGAGGGAUUGGUUUGGAGUUGGACGUCACACAUCUGGGGAAACAUCCCAAAUGGCUCCAUAUUCCCUUUAUAGUGCCCUACAUUAGGUCCCGGUCAAUGUGGAUUAGUGCCCUACAUUAGGUCCCGGUCAAUGUGGAUUAGUGCCCUACAUUAGGUCCCGGUCAAUGUGGAUUAGUGCCCUACAUUAGGUCCCGGUCAAUGUGGAUUAGUGCCCUACAUUAGGUCCCGGUCAAUGUGGAUUAGUGCCCUACAUUAGGUCCCGGUCAAUGUGGAUUAGUGCCCUACAUUAGGUCCCGGUCAAUGUGGAUUAGUGCCCUACAUUAGGUCCCGGUCAAUGUGGAUUAGUGCCCUACAUUAGGUCCCGGUCAAUGUGGAUUAGUGCCCUACAUUAGGUCCCGGUCAAUGUGGAUUAGUGCCCUACAUUAGGUCCCGGUCAAUGUGGAUUAGUGCCCUACAUUAGGUCCCGGUCAAUGUGGAUUAGUGCCCUACAUUAGGUCCCGGUCAAUGUGGAUUAGUGCCCUACAUUAGGUCCCGGUCAAUGUGGAUUAGUGCACUUAGGAAGGGAAUAGUGUUCGAUUUGGGACGUAUCCCGAGUGUGUUGAGCUCAGAGGAGAAUCCAGGACGUCCUGAAUGGAACCCUAUUCCCUAUCCAGUCCUGCACUACGUCUGACCAGAGGCCCCAUAAGGGGGCUAGAGCACUUAGGGGAAUAUAGUGCUAUUUGGGAUACACGAACCGUGUCUUCGGUUCUACUGCCAAAAUCAUUGUAAUAUAAGCAUGAAGGAAAUUUUUUUUUUUUAAAGGAAUUAAAUCAUAUUAAAAACUGGAUAAAAUACCAUGCAUGUUGCUGGAAUUUGACAGUUGGCAGUUUAUAUUUAAAUAGAGCAACGAGACAUUUCAAUGAGAGGGAAAACUGUAGACGAGCGGCCGUCCCAAAUGGCACUACUUUCGAGUGACCCCUUUUUUUUGGGAAGCACUCGAUGGUCAUUUUUCAUAGCAAUGAAUGUAUUAGUUAACUAACAUGUAUGUGUAAUUGCUGGUGACGGUAUGCUCUUGGCUAUUAUGGGAUGGGUGGUGGUUUAAACUCAAGGUACGCUGUGCGAUAUGACGUCGUCAGGCACCGG